rnacentral:rRNA from 1 species
AGCGUACACGGUGGAUGCCCUGGCAGUCAGAGGCGAUGAAGGACGUGCUAAUCUGCGAUAAGCGUCGGUGAGGUGAUAUGAACCGUUAUAACCGGCGAUUUCCGAAUGGGGAAACCCAGUGUGUUUCGACACACUAUCAUUAACUGAAUCCAUAGGUUAAUGAGGCGAACCGGGGGAACUGAAACAUCUAAGUACCCCGAGGAAAAGAAAUCAACCGAGAUUCCCCCAGUAGCGGCGAGCGAACGGGGAGGAGCCCAGAGCCUGAAUCAGUGUGUGUGUUAGUGGAAGCGUCUGGAAAGGCGUGCGAUACAGGGUGACAGCCCCGUACACAAAAAUGCACAUGCUGUGAGCUCGAUGAGUAGGGCGGGACACGUGGUAUCCUGUCUGAAUAUGGGGGGACCAUCCUCCAAGGCUAAAUACUCCUGACUGACCGAUAGUGAACCAGUACCGUGAGGGAAAGGCGAAAAGAACCCCGGCGAGGGGAGUGAAAAAGAACCUGAAACCGUGUACGUACAAGCAGUGGGAGCCUCUUAAUGGGGUGACUGCGUACCUUUUGUAUAAUGGGUCAGCGACUUAUAUUCUGUAGCAAGGUUAACCGAAUAGGGGAGCCGAAGGGAAACCGAGUCUUAACUGGGCGUUAAGUUGCAGGGUAUAGACCCGAAACCCGGUGAUCUAGCCAUGGGCAGGUUGAAGGUUGGGUAACACUAACUGGAGGACCGAACCGACUAAUGUUGAAAAAUUAGCGGAUGACUUGUGGCUGGGGGUGAAAGGCCAAUCAAACCGGGAGAUAGCUGGUUCUCCCCGAAAGCUAUUUAGGUAGCGCCUCGUGAAUUCAUCUCCGGGGGUAGAGCACUGUUUCGGCAAGGGGGUCAUCCCGACUUACCAACCCGAUGCAAACUGCGAAUACCGGAGAAUGUUAUCACGGGAGACACACGGCGGGUGCUAACGUCCGUCGUGAAGAGGGAAACAACCCAGACCGCCAGCUAAGGUCCCAAAGUCAUGGUUAAGUGGGAAACGAUGUGGGAAGGCCCAGACAGCCAGGAUGUUGGCUUAGAAGCAGCCAUCAUUUAAAGAAAGCGUAAUAGCUCACUGGUCGAGUCGGCCUGCGCGGAAGAUGUAACGGGGCUAAACCAUGCACCGAAGCUGCGGCAGCGACACUAUGUGUUGUUGGGUAGGGGAGCGUUCUGUAAGCCUGUGAAGGUGGCCUGUGAGGGUUGCUGGAGGUAUCAGAAGUGCGAAUGCUGACAUAAGUAACGAUAAAGCGGGUGAAAAGCCCGCUCGCCGGAAGACCAAGGGUUCCUGUCCAACGUUAAUCGGGGCAGGGUGAGUCGACCCCUAAGGCGAGGCCGAAAGGCGUAGUCGAUGGGAAACAGGUUAAUAUUCCUGUACUUGGUGUUACUGCGAAGGGGGGACGGAGAAGGCUAUGUUGGCCGGGCGACGGUUGUCCCGGUUUAAGCGUGUAGGCUGGUUUUCCAGGCAAAUCCGGAAAACCAAGGCUGAGGCGUGAUGACGAGGCACUACGGUGCUGAAGCGACAAAUGCCCUGCUUCCAGGAAAAGCCUCUAAGCAUCAGGUAACAUCAAAUCGUACCCCAAACCGACACAGGUGGUCAGGUAGAGAAUACCAAGGCGCUUGAGAGAACUCGGGUGAAGGAACUAGGCAAAAUGGUGCCGUAACUUCGGGAGAAGGCACGCUGAUAUGUAGGUGAAGCGACUUGCUCGUGGAGCUGAAAUCAGUCGAAGAUACCAGCUGGCUGCAACUGUUUAUUAAAAACACAGCACUGUGCAAACACGAAAGUGGACGUAUACGGUGUGACGCCUGCCCGGUGCCGGAAGGUUAAUUGAUGGGGUUAGCGGCAACGCGAAGCUCUUGAUCGAAGCCCCGGUAAACGGCGGCCGUAACUAUAACGGUCCUAAGGUAGCGAAAUUCCUUGUCGGGUAAGUUCCGACCUGCACGAAUGGCGUAAUGAUGGCCAGGCUGUCUCCACCCGAGACUCAGUGAAAUUGAACUCGCUGUGAAGAUGCAGUGUACCCGCGGCAAGACGGAAAGACCCCGUGAACCUUUACUAUAGCUUGACACUGAACAUUGAGCCUUGAUGUGUAGGAUAGGUGGGAGGCUUUGAAGUGUGGACGCCAGUCUGCAUGGAGCCGACCUUGAAAUACCACCCUUUAAUGUUUGAUGUUCUAACGUGGGCCCCUUACCGGGGUUGCGGACAGUGUCUGGUGGGUAGUUUGACUGGGGCGGUCUCCUCCUAAAGAGUAACGGAGGAGCACGAAGGUUGGCUAAUCCUGGUCGGACAUCAGGAGGUUAGUGCAAUGGCAUAAGCCAGCUUGACUGCGAGCGUGACGGCGCGAGCAGGUGCGAAAGCAGGUCAUAGUGAUCCGGUGGUUCUGAAUGGAAGGGCCAUCGCUCAACGGAUAAAAGGUACUCCGGGGAUAACAGGCUGAUACCGCCCAAGAGUUCAUAUCGACGGCGGUGUUUGGCACCUCGAUGUCGGCUCAUCACAUCCUGGGGCUGAAGUAGGUCCCAAGGGUAUGGCUGUUCGCCAUUUAAAGUGGUACGCGAGCUGGGUUUAGAACGUCGUGAGACAGUUCGGUCCCUAUCUGCCGUGGGCGCUGGAGAACUGAGGGGGGCUGCUCCUAGUACGAGAGGACCGGAGUGGACGCAUCACUGGUGUUCGGGUUGUCAUGCCAAUGGCACUGCCCGGUAGCUAAAUGCGGAAGAGAUAAGUGCUGAAAGCAUCUAAGCACGAAACUUGCCCCGAGAUGAGUUCUCCCUGACUCCUUGA